GAUGAACGCUGGCGGCGUGCCUAAUACAUGCAAGUCGAGCGAACGGACGAGAAGCUUGCUUCUCUGAUGUUAGCGGCGGACGGGUGAGUAACACGUGGAUAACCUACCUAUAAGACUGGGAUAACUUCGGGAAACCGGAGCUAAUACCGGAUAAUAUUUUGAACCGCAUGGUUCAAAAGUAAAAGACGGUCUUGCUGUCACUUAUAGAUGGAUCCGCGCUGCAUUAGCUAGUUGGUAAGGUAACGGCUUACCAAGGCAACGAUGCAUAGCCGACCUGAGAGGGUGAUCGGCCACACUGGAACUGAGACACGGUCCAGACUCCUACGGGAGGCAGCAGUAGGGAAUCUUCCGCAAUGGGCGAAAGCCUGACGGAGCAACGCCGCGUGAGUGAUGAAGGUCUUUGGAUCGUAAAACUCUGUUAUUAGGGAAGAACAUAUGUGUAAGUAACUGUGCACAUCUUGACGGUACCUAAUCAGAAAGCCACGGCUAACUACGUG
rnacentral:rRNA from 1 species